rnacentral:rRNA from 1 species
GGUUGAGGAAAAGAGAAUAACCAAUGAUUCCGAAAGUAGUGGCGAGCGAAAUUGGAACAGCCCAAACCUUAACAUAACCUAACGGUUUAACGGCCUGAGUUAUGAAAGGGGUUGCGAAAUUAGAUAAUUUUUAUGUAGAGAUGUUGGACUCACGGUUGUUUAGCUUUUUAUUUACUUUUUGAGAGUAUAAGCCUGGCCAAACGGCUUCGAGUGUCUCGAAAAAAAGUGAGUGAAAAGCUAAACACUGCCAAUCCUCUACAUAAAAACUACCAUCGUUAAAUGAGUAGAUAAUGAUACAAACCUUUAGAUCAUAGCGGAAGCGUUUGAAUGGCGCGCCAAAGAGGGUGAGAGUCCCGUAUGCGAAAUGGUCUUAGGCAUUAUAUAUCUUUUUUCAAGUAGGACGGGGCACGAGAAACCCUGUUUGAAUCCGGCAGGACCACCUGCCAAGGCUAAAUAUAUUGAUUGAUCGAUAGCGAACUAGUACAGUGAUGGAAAGGUGAAAAGAACCCCGGGAGGGGAGUGAAAUAGAUCCUGAAAUUUAGUGCCUACAAGGAGUCGGAGCCGGCUUGUCCGGUGACGGCGUGCUUUUUGUAGAACGAUCCAGCGAGUUAAUUUUUACAGCGAGGUUAAGUCAAUUGACGGAGCCACAGUGAAAGCGAGCCUGAAUAGGGCGUUUAGUUGUAAGGAUUAGACCCGAAACCGGGUGACCUAACCAUGAGCAGGUUGAAGCCACUGUAACAGGUGGUGGAGGACCGAACCAGGAUACGCAGCAAAGUGUUUGGAUGACUUGUGGUUAGCGGUGAAAUGCCAAUCGAACUCGGAGAUAGCUGGUUCUCCUCGAAAUAGCUUUAGGGCUAGCGUCGUGUUAGUAGCACAUGGGGGUAGAGCUCUGUAAAGGACUGGGGCGGGCAACUGUACCCACCCUUAACAAACUACGAAUACCGUAUGCGGAAUCACGGCAGUUAGAACGGCGGAGCUAAGUUCGUCGCUCGAAAGGGAAACAGCCCAGACCAUCAUCUAAGGUCCCUAAAUUAACGUUCAGUGGGAAACAAGGUGAGAUUUCUUAAACAGCUAGGAUGUUGGCUUAGAAGCAGCCAUUCAUUUAAAGAGUGCGUAACAGCUCACUAGUCAAGAGAUUUUGCGUGGAAAAUGUAACGGGGCUCAAGUAUUACACCGAAGACAUGGACUUCUAAUUUUAUUAGGAGUGGUAGAGGAGCGUUGAUAUUGCAGUGAAGCAGAAUUGGAAAGUUCUGUGGAGCGUUAUCAAGUGAGAAUGCUGGAAUCAGUAACCUUAAGACAGGUGAGAAUCCUGUCGGUCGUAAGAGCAAGGUUUCCAGGGCUACAGUAAUUGCCCCUGGGUUAGUCGGUCCUAAGCCGAGGCGCAUCAGCGUAGGCGAUGGACAACAGGUUAAUAUUCCUGUACUGGUAGUAGUUGUAAAGAGUUCGCAAGAUCUGACUAGAGCGGAUUAAUGGUUUAUCCGUCCAAGUCUUACGGGAACGUAAGAUGAGUGAAAGGUGUUCUUCGGAAUGCUGAUUCUAGGUAUAGUCUUGACCAGAAAAGCUCGUUUACUUAUGCUGCUGCCAACCGUACCGCAAACCAACACCGGUGCUCGGGUCGAGUAGACCAAGACCUACGAGAGAACCUUCGUUAAGGAACUCGGCAAAAAAGCGUCCGUAACUUCGGAAUAAGGACUGCCCUCUCGCUUAGUGCGAGAUUUGUUAAAGAGUGACUCAGCGAAUAAAGGUUGAGUAUGUAUCUUUUAUUCAAUCGAUUUCAACGUUGAGACACACUAUUCUUUAGCAGCUUGAAUCGCGCAUUGCGCGAGAGGGCCGCAGCUAAAGAGCCCACGGAACUGUUUACCAAAAACAUAGGUCUCUGCUAACGCGAAAGCGGAUGUAUAGGGGCUGACUCCUGCCCAGUGUCGGAAGGUUAAGGGGAGAACUUCACGGUUCGAACUGAAGCCCCGAUGAACGGCGGCGAUAACUAUGAUCGUCCUAAGGUAGCGAAAUUCCUUGUCUGGUAAGUUCAGACCCGCACGAAUGGAGUAAUCAUGUGGGCACUGUCUCGACGAAGGCCUCGGUGAACGUGCAUUGGCGGUAAAGAUGCCGUCUGAUCAUGCCAGGACGAGAAGACCCCAUGGAGCUUUACUACAACUUUGCAUUGAUUGUUGGGAUGUUUUGUGUAGCAUAGGUGGAAGACUUUGAAGCAGAUACGCCAGUAUUUGUGGAGUCACAGGUGAAAUACCACCCUUAAUGUGAAUUUAGUCUCACCAUUACCGUAAUCCGGUAAUGGGACCGUGUAUGAUGGGUAGUUUAACUGGGGCGGUUGCCUCCUAAAGAGUAGCGGAGGCGUUCAAAGGUUGGCUAACUUCGGAUGGAAAUCGAAGUGAUAGUGUAUGCGCAUAAGCCAGCUUGACUGUGAGGAGUACAUUCCAAUCAGAGACGAAAGUCGGAGCAAGUGACCCGCUGUACGAACAUUUGUUCAUUGAAUGUGGGAUCGACAGCGCACACGGAUAAAAGUUACCCUGGGGAUAACAGGCUUAUAGCGCCCAAUAGUUCACAUAGACGGCGCUGUUUGGCACCUCGAUGUCGGCUCAUCACAUCCUGGAGGGGGAGCACCUUCCAAGGGUCCGGCUGUUCGCCGGUUAAAGUGGUACGCGAGCUGGGUUCAGAACGUCGUGAGACAGUUCGGUUUAUAUCCGGCAUGAUCGUUAGGAAUUUUGAGGAGAUCUACCCUUAGUACGAGAGGACCGGGGCGGACGAACCGCUAGUGUAUCGGUUGUGGCCACCUGCUGCAUCGCCGAGUAGCUAUGUUCGGAAGAGAUAAGCGCUGAAAGCAUAUUAAGCGCGAAGCCCACUCCAAGAUAAGAAUUCCCUAUGACCUCCCAGAAAGAAGAUCUGGUCGAUAGGCGCAAGGUGGAAGCACGGUAACGUGUGGAGCCGAAGCGUACUAAUAGAGGCAUCGCCUUUUUA